UUGAACUGUGAGAUAAAUUUUGACCACUGGACUAUUUGAUGUUGAAUAUUAAGUGGUAGGAUAACAUUUCAAAGUUUUAACAAAAAUCAAAGUAGCUUUGUUUUUCAAUUGGAAAAAUUACAGCCUACUUUGAAGUAUUUCCUUUCUCACAGAUGCAAGUCACCACCUGCACUAAAUAUAUUUAUCUUAAUCUUCUCAUCUUCAGGUUGUCACUUACAGCAGUCUGCCUGUGGCAGAGCUGCAUCUGGUCAAGAUGCAAGACCAGGAAGUUGGCCCUGGCAUGCCAUGGUAGUAACCUUUGGACCUUAUGGAUAUAAUCAGUGUGGAGGUUCCCUAAUCACCAACCAGUGGGUUCUGACAGCUGCUCACUGCAUACCACCGUAGAUCAAGGAGAACCACUCAUGAUGAAGUCAGGAGAAGUCUGGGUCCAGAUUGGAAUUACGAGUUAUAGUACUUGUUGGGGACCUUCAAUCUACACUCGUUUGUCCCAAUACCAGAAAUGGAUCAGUGACACCAUCACAGAGACACCACUAGGCUUUGUUACAAUCUCCUCCUCAGGGACUGACAGCGAUGUAAACUUUAUCUGCCCAACAUCACCACCUACAACCAUCCCUCCCCUUUUGAUUACCACUGUCCCUCCCCUCAUUACUACCACUGUCCCUACUCUUUUAAAUACCACUGUUCCCACCCUUUUUAACACUACUGUCCCUACUAGUUUCCCUGUUAUUCCAACCAUGCAUAGCAAUGGUGAAAAUCUGAUCUACUUCACCUCUCUCUCUGUUCUUGUUGUGUUGCUCCAUGUGUUUAUGGGAAGUGGAAUGUAACUCAUUUAUACAUUUACUCAAGUCUUAUACUUAAUGACAUCCUUGAAAUACUUGUACUUUACAUUUGUGAUCUUUAUUAACAAAUCAAACCCUUUUUAUUGCAUGAGGGAA